UACGUAGGGGGCAAGCGUUUAUCCGGAAUCAUUGGGCGUAAAGCGCGUGUAGGCGGUUCCGUAAGUCCGCUCUGAAAGCCCAGGGCUCAACCCUGGGAGGCGGGUGGAUACUACGGAACUGGAGUACGGAAGAGGAGAUUGGAAUUCCUGGUGUAGCGGUGAAAUGCGCAGAUAUCAGGAGGAACACCGAGUGGCGAAGGCAGGUCUCUGGGCCACUACUGACGUGGAGAAGCGAAAGCAUGGGGAGCAAACAGG
rnacentral:rRNA from 1 species